UAGAUUCUCUGCCUAGACUCAAGUCAGUUUCACUGCCUAUUUGUACCGGUUGUGAUGAAGAUUUAGGCAAUGUUCUCGAACUCUAUUAUGGUCGCAUUUCCUUUGGUCAUCAGGUUUUAGAUGCUGUAAGUCAAAAUGUUUUGCACAGACCAAAAUUUGCAUAUUAUAUUCAGUUGUCUACUGAUAAAAAAAACAGUCCUUAUAAAUGAUAGGCCUGGUUUUAUUCUUGGUUGUUAAAUAUGAUUGGUUAUUGGCAUUCAAAAAUAUGGUUUAGGCUACUAGUGUUACUAGAUUCAAGAUUUGACAUUAUUCAUAUAAUGCUAUUGAGUGUUGUUUUAACUGAUUGCUUACAUUUUGGUAUGAAUGUAUUUUCAGCUAGUUGUAAUUCCUGCCUUGUGUUUAAAGUUUUUUUAGCAGUCAUAUACUUUGUACAAUGGACUUACAUUGAAGUGUUGUUUUUUUGGUAAAGUGGUGCUUACGGUAAAGCCAGUUGAGUUAGUGGCUAGUGGCGUAACUGUUGUUCAUUGUUUGGCAAUUUUAUUCUUUGUUCUGUUGGCACAGUUUGAAUUGUUUCAUUUUAGGGCAAAGUUUAUGCUAUAGAUAAAUGAACCAGUUGUAAAUAUUUGGCGGUUAAAUAAUCUGACAGUAUUUUAAUCAUAUUUCUUUCUGGUUGGUAAAAAAUUCAUAGACUGAUUCAAAUUAAUUAAACAAGUUAACAACAAUUUUUUAAAUGUGAGUGGAUCUUGAAAUUGUUAUUGUUGAAUCACUAGAUACUUAAUGUGAAGUUUCCCUUUGGUAUCAUUUGUAAUAAACUCAGCAGCAAACAAAACUAUACAGACACAUUAAUUUAAAUGAAUCCUUAAAAUAUGUCAGUACCACAUUUAUUUACAUUAAACAACAUUGUAAUUUAUUGCUAUAUGCAUCAGUGUCUGUUCAUUAUCUGGAAUCAGUACAGUAAUAGGAAUGUAUUGUAACAUGCAUCAGUGUUUGUUAAUUCACUGGAAUCAGCACAGUAUUAAUGUCAAAGUUGCAUUUUGAUUACAACAAUCCUUAAAUGAAAAAUCAAAAAAUUUACACUGUCGACCAACUUCUGUCUGAUUUAAGAAGCGCACAUUUCCUUCUUUCCAAAAAUUACCUUGUAUGAUCGCAUUGGUUGUAAUGAGUUUAUUAGAACAUCAUUGCUUAAAAAUAAUAUACACUUGUAAACAUGUUUUUUUUUUCAAAUAUCCAACAACAAAUGUAUUUAUUUCUAGUGUUAAGUAUUUGAUUUUUAUUAAGGGGUUGAUGUAUUUCAACUUUUAGUUAGGACAAUAAUUUUUAUGCCCCCGGAUCGAAUGAUCGGGGGUAUAUUGUUUCUGGCCUGUCUGUCUGUCUUUCUGUCUGUUAUUCUGUCCCAAAACUUUAACCUUACAGUAAAGUUUUGCAAUAACUUUUAAAAUAUUGAACAUAGCAACUUGAUAUUUGGCAUGCAUGUGUAUCUCAUGGAGCUGCACAUUUUGAGUGGUGAAAGGUCAAGGUCAUCUUUCAAGGUCAAAGGCCGAAAAUUAAAAAAAUUAAUAUAGUAAAGUUUUGCAAUAACUUUUGAAGUAUUGAACAUAGCCACUUGAUAUUUGGCAUGCAUAAGUAUCUCAUGGAGCUGCACAUUUUGAGUGGUGAAAGGUCAAGGACAUCUUUCAAGGUCAAAGGUAAAAAAAGCAAUGCAUUAGGGGGCAUUGUGUUUCUGACAAACACAUCUCUUGUUUAUAUUGCUAUCUUUUCAAGAUUUUAUUAAUUAUGCCAGGCUUUUUAGUCAGGAUUAUCUAAAGAACUGAUGAAACAGUGUUCAUAGAACAUUUAUUGCUGGAACAUAUAACUCUUAUUAUUCGAACUGAUCUCAUAAAUUGCUUUAAAAUCAUGUACAUUUAGAUCUUAUUAUCAUUUUCCUGAUUUGUUUUUAUGUGUUCAUAUGUUAUAUGUUACGUUAUCAUUUGCACUAUUCAGAACUGUUCUCUACAUUCCAAGAGUUUUAAGGUUUUAUCUCUUGUUCAUGUUUAAUUAUGUUUAAAUAAGAUUUAUCGUUAGAAUAAAAAAGAAAAUUACA